ACUCAAAUGAAUAGACGGGGGCCCGCACAAGCGGUGGAACAUGUGGUUUAAUUCGAAGCUACGCGAAAAACCUCACCAGGGCUUGACAUGUAGGAAGUAGUGAACUGAAAGGGGAACGACCCGUUAAGUCGGGAGCUUACACAGGUGCUGCAUGGCUGUCGUCAGCUCGUGUCGUGAGAUGUUGGGUUAAGUCCCGCAACGAGCGCAACCAUUGUCCUUUGUUGCAAUCCCGAUCCAGCUUGCUGGAUCGGGAGCACUCUAAGGAGACUGCCUGGGAUAACCAGGAGGAAGGUGGAGAUGACGUCAAGUCAGUACGGCCUUUAUGCCCUGGGCGACACACGUGUUACAAUGGGUAGGACAAAGGGUUGCCAACCCGCGAGGGGGAGCUAAUCUCAAAAACCUACCCCCAGUUCAGAUCGCAGUCUGCAAUUCGACUGCGUGAAGCCGGAAUCGCUAGUAAUGGGAGAUCAGCACGCUCCCGUGAAUACGUUCCCGGGCCUUGCACACACCGCCCGU
rnacentral:rRNA from 1 species